GGGCCAGGGUCAGGGUGUCGGGCCCAGGGUGUCGGGCCGGGGUCAGGGUACGAUUCCUUCAGCGAAGGGCUGCCGGAGGGGGGUGGUCGCCCCUCGCCCGUCGCCGUUUGAGGGGAGAACAUCCUUAACAACGCGCUCUAAGCCUGCGUCAGCCCCGGCGCUGCCGUAGGCGCUCCCUUUUCGCUCUGAAAUAUCCCGUUUUCUUCCGCUUUAGCCGAUUUCACCCUCU